rnacentral:tRNA from 10 species
GAAGGGGUAGCUUAAAUUUGAAAGCGUUUGACUGUUAAUUAAAAGUUCCUGCGACUAGGUCUCUUCU